CAGUGUUAGGCUUCGGCCUCAUUCACACCCCUUGUUGAACCUCUGGUUUCUUUGGCGAUGUCAUGGACUCGUCAGACUUUAACUCUGAUAAUGCGAUACUGUCCGAGUGAGAUUGAAUUAUUAA
rnacentral:misc_RNA from 1 species